UGCACAUUGAGUGUAACAACAAAUGAUAGAAGAACUACAGAUAAUGCAACCAAUCAUGGGAAGAUGCCCAAGAUAAAAAGCAAAAAAAAAAAACAAGAAACCAAACACUCUUCAUCACAUGUGCGAGUAAAGAGGAUAAAAUAGCCAAGGGCCACCCACAAAGCAGAAAGAACAGAUCACCAUUCGAUCAAGAAAACACUGGUCUAGGUCCCACCAUGCCAAAAAUAACCAUGUGAAAGGCCUCUGAAAUCACGAGACUGUUGAUGGUCUGGAAAAACCAUGAAAGAGGGACUGCCAAAGCUCAAGACAUAUCCAGUGAUAAGCAUGCAAUUGGCUGUAACAGUUCACAGCAACUACUCCUGCACUGCAUGCAAAGAAUGUGAAAAAGAAUAUCAACUCCUCCAAUCAGCCCACUCAACAGAGACAUUCAUAUUCUGACAUACUUCAAGUUCCAUAAUGUCUGAUAGCUUCAAUAAACACGCAGCAUUCCGUGUCUUAUUGGCUGUAGCGAAGCACAUUGUCCCUCCCAUGAGGUGGUCGGUACGUCGGGUAGCUGCAAUGUCAACUUGCUCCACUUUCCAAACAGAACAUCUGUGUGGGAAGUCCGC
rnacentral:lncRNA from 1 species